UACGUAGGGGGCAAGCGUUGUCCGGAAUCAUUGGGCGUAAAGAGCGUGUAGGCGGCUCGAUAAGUCUGCUGUGAAAGUCCAGGGCUCAACCCUGGAAGGCCGGUGGAAACUGUCGGGCUAGAGUCCGGAAGAGGCGAGUGGAAUUCCCGGUGUAGCGGUGAAAUGCGCAGAUAUCGGGAGGAACACCAAUGGCGAAGGCGACUUCCUGGACCAAUACUGACGCUCAGGUGCGAAAGCGUGGGGAGCAAACAGG
rnacentral:rRNA from 1 species